rnacentral:lncRNA from 1 species
CGUGGCUCGGACUCGAGGGGAGUGGCUAGUUCGCAGGGGCGUGGCUUGGGCUCGCGAAGGCGUCCGAGAUCCAGGGCAGCUCCGAGGCAGAACUGUCCGGAUCUAACAGUCCUUGUGGAGUCGGAGACCGGUGGCCGGUUUGUGGGCUGACUCAGGGCUCCUAAGGAGACACAGGCGGGCCGUGAGGGCAGGUGAAGGGGGCUAGACGUGCGAUCCUGGUAAGCAGAAGUGGGAGGGCAGAGAGGAAAGGGCAGAGCGGGGACCGGGCCUCUGACGCUCGCCUGGUUCCCCCCAGCCGCCGGACCCACAGGCCAUGCGGCCCCCGCUGUUGCUGCUGCUGCUGCUGCUGCUCCCUGCCGCCCCGGUCCCCAUCGCCAAGGCCGCUCCCCUCCUGGAUGCGAACACCCAGGAAGGCUUUCAGAACCUGCUCCAAGGAGUCCAGGCUGGCGGAGACAGAGAGCUGCGGGCAGUCUCAUACCUGGCCCCUGGCUCUGCCUGUAGUAAUGGAGCUGUGAUGGCCGUUCGACCCCCAAGCCAGGGAGGAAGACCUGCGGCUCCGUGAGAGGCGUCCAGGGCUGCAGGCCAAGGCGACAGGCUCCAGGGGACAUGGGGCUUCCCCUGUUCAUUCC